rnacentral:rRNA from 1 species
GACGAACCGUGCGACCGUUAUUCGGAAUCAUUGGGCUUAAAGGGCGCGUAGGCGGCGGCGUAAGUUGGAAGUGAAAUCCCAUCGGCUCAACCGUGGAAUCGCUCCCAGUACUGCGUCGCUCGAGGGGGGUAGGGGUCUGCGGAACUACCGGUGGAGCGGUGAAAUGUGUUGAUAUCGGUGGGAACGCCAGUGGCGAAAGCGGCAGACUUGACCCUUCCUGACGCUGAGGCGCGAAAGCUAGGGGAGCAAACGGG